rnacentral:tRNA from 1 species
UCGAAAUCGGUAGACGCUACGGACUUAAAAUCCGUCGACUUUUAAAAUCGUGAGGGUUCAAGUCCCUCUAUCCCCA